GACGAACGCUGGCGGCGUGCUUAACACAUGCAAGUCGAGCGGUAAGGCCCUUUCGGGGGUACACGAGCGGCGAACGGGCGAGUAACACGUGGGUGACCUGCCCUCAGCUCUGGGAUAAGCCUGGGAAACCGGGUCUAAUACUGGAUAUGACUCCAUGACGCAUGUUGUGGGGUGGAAAGCCUUGUGCGGCUGAGGAUGGGCCCGCGGCCUAUCAGCUUGUUGGUGGGGGAUGGCCUACCAAGGCGACGACGGGUAGCCGGCCUGAGAGGGCGACCGGCCACACUGGGACUGAGACACGGCCCAGACUCCUACGGGAGGCAGUAGUGGGGAAUCUUGCGCAAUGGGCGAAAGCCUGACGCAGCGACGCCGCGUGAGGGAUGACGGCCU
rnacentral:rRNA from 1 species